rnacentral:rRNA from 1 species
CCUACGGGAGGCAGCAGUGAGGAAUAUUGGUCAAUGGACGAGAGUCUGAACCAGCCAAGUAGCGUGAAGGAUGACUGCCCUAUGGGUUGUAAACUUCUUUUAUAUGGGAAUAAAAUGUGGCACGUGUGGGUUUUUGUAUGUACCAUAUGAAUAAGGAUCGGCUAACUCCGUGCCAGCAGCCGCGGUAAUACGGAGGAUCCGAGCGUUAUCCGGAUUUAUUGGGUUUAAAGGGAGCGUAGGUGGAUUGUUAAGUCAGGUGUGAAAGUUUGCGGCUCAACCGUGAAAUUGCAGUUGAAACUGGCAGUCUUGAGUACAGUAGAGGUGGGCGGAAUUCGUGGUGUAGCGGUGAAAUGCUUAGAUAUCGCGAAGAACUCCGAUUGCGAAGGCAGCUCACUGGACUCCAACUGACACUGAGGCUCGAAAGUGUGGGUAUCAAACAGGAUUAGAUACCCCAGUAGUC